UACGUAGGUGACAAGCGUUGUCCGGAUUUACUGGGCGUAAAGAGCGCGCAGGCGGUCGAUCAAGUCGAGUGUGAAAGCCCCCGGCUCAACUGGGGAGGGUCAUUCGAAACUGGUCGACUCGAAGGCAGGAGAGGGUAGUGGAAUUCCCGGUGUAGUGGUGAAAUGCGUAGAUAUCGGGAGGAACACCAGUGGCGAGGGCGACUACCUGGCCUGUUCUUGACGCUGAGGCGCGAAAGCUAGGGGAGCGAACAGG
rnacentral:rRNA from 1 species